CCUUUUUCGAAAAUAUUUUAAUCAUUUUUAUUUUUUUUAUUUUUUUAUUUUAUUCACCUUACCAUACUUUUGUUUAACUGAUAAUUUCUCCCAAAAAAAAAAGAAUUGAAAAUAAUUAAAUACAUAGCAUCUUUGCCACCUCACUAUGCCACCUCAACACCUCACUUUUCAUUUUUCAUUGGAUACAUGCAAAAGGCGCACGUCCUACUCAUUUUUCCACACGCCACCCUCAUCUUUCCACAUGUCACACUAACUUUUUCACAUGCCACACACUUAUUCCCACAAGCCACCAAUUAUAUGCUUUCACAUAGGAUAAUAAAUAAAGAAAAAGAAAAAUUAAAUAAAAAAUAUAAAAGGAAAAUUUUAAAAAGGGAAAAGGGGGUCCACAUAGACAAUCAUCCUCCUCACCAUCUGCUUUCAUUUUUUUUUUUGAGAUACACACACCUACACGAUUUUGGGGAGGGCAGGGACGAAGGGAUUCCAUUUUUCUUUCUUUCCUUUUCUUCUUCUUGGGACACACUGGAAUUCAUCACAGGGAGAAGAUAAUUCUCCAUUAUCAUCAUCUGCACACACCCACUAAUUCAGCAACGAUAUUCAAACACACACGCGAGAGAGAGAUAUAGAUGAGAGAUAUAGAGAUCUAGAAACAUAGAUCGGGAGAGAGAAAACAAAGGGUGAAGAGCUGAAAUCGAUCGAGGUCACCACUGGGGGGAUUCCGGCGGUCACUGUAGCAGCCAAAUUCAUCGAAAAAAAGUCACGCCAACUACGUUACGGCCAAAGUCCACGUCGACCAGCCAUCUUCUUUUACUCCAACGAGAUUUGUUUAAAUCCGGCGGGAUCUCAGACACAAUAUGGUUUGGAGUUUUGUUGGUCGAGGUUUGAAUUGAGGCUUUUCGGGCACGGUGUUAUCUCCGAUAUAUUAAAAUCUGACAUUUGAGGUUCAAUUCUUUAACCCCUUCUCUUCGUUUUACUUAAUUUGAUGUGUUGAUAUUGUGAGUUGCGUGGUUCGUGUUGACUGAUGAUAAUUAUUUAUAGUAUGUUUGAGUGUCUAUGAUUGUGGUGGUUGUGAUUUGUUGAUUCUUCAUCGAAAUUGGUUAAUCAUGUGGUUAAAAAUAAAUUUAGGGGCUGAGAGUUGAAAAAUUGAUAAAUGAGGGAAUAUAGUCCAGCUUUGGUUUAUCGUUUUUUAAUUUGGAAUGAGCAUGAAUGUGAUAGAUUUAUGAUAUGUUAAAAUGGAUAGGCAAUACAGGUUCGAGUAGGCAAAAUUUAGGCGUGAUGUGUUGAUUGAAUGCUUCGAAUGUCUAAAUGUGUGUUUCGAACAUUUUUCUAGUUAUCUUAUUUAAUUCAGAUGUAUUUAUUUGGCCGGGGAAUGCCCCGAGGUAUUUGUGUUCAUUUACCGGGGAAUGUCCUAAAGUAUUUUGUACCCAGAGGACAUUCGUGACCAAGGCCCGAGGCUUCGGGUGGAGUUUAGUUCAGGAGUAGUUUAGGGAUAGUUUAGAAUAGAAUAGGUUUACAUUUUCGCAUUUUUCAUUAUUUGAGACUGUAUAAUUGGACUGUACACUAUAUUUUUGACUUGUUUUGUUUUGUUUGUUUGAUUGAUUGUUUUACGUGUUUUUGUGUGGUUUGUGCAUUCGUAGUAUCAAAUUAGCUGAUAGGCUCUAUCAAGCGACCGUGGUCAAACCACGAGAUCGAGGGGUGCCUAACACCUUCCCCUCGGUCAACAGAAUUCCUUAGUCGGAAUCUCUUUUCGCAAUCUAGUCUUAAAGAGUCAAAUUGUUUUGAAAAGGAUUUUUCAAAGAUGAAUUGGCACACCAAAUUAUGCCAAGCGGUGACUCUGCAAAAAAAAUAUAAAUAAUCCUUUUUCCAAAUAAAUUUUUAUUUUAUCACUUUAAUAAUAAAAACUCUUUCGAACUUAAAAUAAAAUCUUUCUUUUUUGGUUAAAAAUCGAUGUGACAUGUACUAUGACCCUGAACAUCAGAAUGAUAUACACAUCGUAUAUUAGGGUCAAAGUUUCUUGAUUGUGGGUCAGGGUAUACCCAAGAAGAGGAGUGAUCAUGUCCUUUUGUCUCAGUUUCUAGAAUAAACUGGUAUAUGAUUCUCCAAUUGGUGUGAAACUAUCCCUUAGCUUCUGCCUCUUUUCAUUGUUUGGCUUAGAGCGAACAUCGAGUUUGGAGUGGCUUGGGUAUGUUUGGGGAAUUGGAGAAUGAUUUUGAGGGGUUGGUGCACGCCAUUACUGGUAAGAAGGAGUCUGAACAUAUGGUUGUGCAUUAUAGAUAGAAUACUGAGGAGAUGGAAUGGAAUAUAAUGGAUUUUGUGGUGGAACAUAGUAUCGUGGAUGGUUAUAUGGGUCUUGGGCAUAAAUUUGGGACUGAGAUUGUGCGUAAGGGUGACGCACACCUCUCCAAUUUUGUCGUGGACCUGGUAUAAUAGUUGCUACAUCCUCUUUUCUUUUGUUUCCACCAAAGCUUCCUAAACCACUUUGAAUUGCUUGUGUUAUUGCUUUUAAAGCGUCUUGGUUGAUAAUCUUUUCGGACUUAAUUCCACUCUCUACCAUCUCUCUAAUUUUAAUGACCUCGGGAAAUGUGUUUCCAAUAGUAGAAAGCAAAUGAUUAAAAUAAUCAGGUUCUUGUGCCUGCAGAAAGAUAUCAAUCAUUUCAGACUCUUUUAUUGAUGGUCUGACUCUUGCAGCGUGUUCUCUCCAUCUAAUAGCAUAUUCUCGAAAACUAUCAGUUGUCUUUUUUCUCAUAUUAGUCAGUGUGGUGCGAUCUGGGACUAUCUCGAUGUUAUAUUGAAAAUGUUGAACAAAAUCCUGAGCCAUGUCAUCCCACACGUACCAACGGGAAAUGACUUGGUCAAUAAACCAUUCAGAAGCUACCCCUUCCAAGCUUUCUCCAAAGUUAGCCAGGAGCAAUUCUUCUUUUCCUCCUGCUCCCCUUAAUUGAUUGCAAAACUUUUUCAAGUGAGCUACAGGAUCGCCAUGACCUUCGUAUUUGUCAAACUUUAGAAUUUUGAACCCCAACGGAAAAUGGACAUCAAGAAACAUACACAAAUCCUUGUAUGAAACACUCUUUGGUCCUCUCAAUCCUUGCAUAUUUCUCAUACUCUGCUCCAAGCUUCUUACUUUCCUAGCCAUCUCAUCUUGUUCCUCAUUCUUAACAAUCUUUUCAAUCACGAUAGGAGAAUUGUGUUGAUGAGCAUGAUAAUGUGGAUUUUGAGGUUUGAAAGUCAUUUCAGGAGAAUACAACAGAUCAUGACUUGGUUCCCUAUAUUCUUCGGUGCUGCCGAUUGAAGACCCGCAGUAGCUGGUGCUACAGAAGUGAAAAAUGGGUUAUUUGUGACAGGCGGAUUUGGUGGGCUCAUGGUAGAAGUACCUAUAGCGCUAGACACAAUAGCAAAUGGGAACGCGAGUAAAAUAGAUAGCUAGUUUGAGCUUGAGCAGGAUUUGGAUCAUUCAUAUUCGUAAGUCCAGGGAUUGAGGAAGGCGGGGCUUGUCCAUUUAACCAAGCUUGGUACAGUUCCGCCAUCUGUUGUUUCAAUAACUUAACCUCUUCCAUUGAUGCUACUUCUGGCGAAACCAACUGAUUUUGCUCCUCCUCACUGUCAGACCCUACACCCUCUUUGCCGGUCAUUUUUCUUUUUCCCUUGUAUCUGGUGUUGUACGGAUGUGAUGCCAGUUUAAACAACAAACCAACCACCAACUACUUUAUCUUUCUGUUACCAAGUAACAAACGGGUGAUUGUUAUAUAUUUAACACAUUAUAAUGUCACGUUGUAUAUUAAGCUUCUAGAUGCAUUUUCUAACCUAUUAAGGAAGACUUUAUGUUUCAUCCCGAUUUUCUAGGCGCACUUUUUUGAAAAAUUUUGAUUGAAUCCUUUAGAGGGUUGCCUACGUAUCAUGCCAAGACAUGAAUCAGAUCUUGCGUAGUUCAAAAAAAUUAAAGAUACGAAGAAAUAUACCUUUUUUAUUAUUAUUAUUAUUAUUAUUUGAAAUAUGAGAAACAAAUUUUUUAUUUUUGAAUAACAUCUUUUAUUUUUGAAAAUAAUUUUUUUUCCUUCAUUUUUUUUAUAAGGAAAGACAUCCAAUUUUUUAAGAUCACCGAAUUCAUUGAGGACUGCCUACGUAUCUCAUUAAAAUGAGAAUCAGGUGUGCGUAGUUCUUGAAAAUUAUGUCGUACAAAACUCAGCCUCAAGACCCCUAAAGGUUCAGGGUUGUUAAGAUUUAUUUAUAUUUUUUAUUUUGUAAAAACUUAACCUCAUGAUCCUUGAAGAUUCAGGGCUAUUAAGAUAAAAAAAAAUAUAUUUAGACUUGAAGAGUAGGAAAACAAUUAUAAGAGUAAUCAUAUUUUCAAAAUAUUCCCUAACAAAUCUACGAAUAAUUUUUCAAAAGAUAGGGCUGUAUCCUGGGAAGGACUUUCUACGUCUCACAAAGAUGUGAGAAUCAGACCCUCGUAGUUCAUGAAGAUCGUAAAACUAUGUUACUAAAAAUUUUCUCUCUUAAAAAUAAAUUUAUUUUUUAUUUUUUUAAAAUGAUUCACUAAAUGUGAGGAUAAUUUAAUCUCUUGCAUUUUAAAGUUGCCUAAAAUCGGUCGACAAACAAAUAGCCUUCCAAAUAAAUGUCAAAGAGCACGUAGGAUGUACAUGUUGAUCUUUAUAAAGUAGGUCACCUGUUCUAGACAGACCCGACCCCUGUGCCGAGUCCCGCUAAUUCAAAUGCAUAUGAUGCAAAUGAAGCGGUACCUAAUAGGGAUAACCAGAUUCUGAGUUUUCAGUUCUUUUAGGUUUAAGCCUAAUAGGGAUAGGGGUCUAGACUGGCUUACCCGAGCGGACACUCGAGCCGGGGAGGACAACUUGGUCGGUAGCAAGGCAACACCGCCUUCGUUGUCGAUCCAAACCCCACCUAACAUGUGUGACUAUAAUCCUUCACCAGGUGCCUUGACACUCCGGCUAUCUCAAAAGAAAGUUAGAAUGCAUACGUUGCAUUCCUUCUAUCCUAUUUCAAAGACUCAGAAGGGGUGCGCAAGAGAAGACAGUGUAUAAAUACAGUUCAACAAUAUCAAAGUAGUAAAUGGUCAACAAGUAGAACAUAAGGCCAAUAAACACAAUAUCAAUAAUAAUUAAAGCAAGUAUAAGUCAACAUCAAAAAGCUCGAAUUCUAGCGUUUCUCCAGCAAAGUCGCUAGAGACAUCACACCCCUUUUUCUUUGAGGAAUUGAGGUCGAAGAGUUUUUUCAAUUAAAGUGACAGUUUUGAAUAGGGAUUAAUUUAUUACAGAGUCGCCACUUGGAAUUGAGUUAUGGUGUUCCAAGUCACCUUUUUGAAUCGAAAACAGAAGUCUGGGUAAGGAAAUUCUAUUGACCGAGGGAAAGGUGUGAGGCACCCCUCGAAUCCCGUGGUUCUAGCACAGUCGCUUUUAUUGACUUAUCUUGACUUAAAAUAUUUUGAAUAAAUUGUGUUACGGCCUAAAUUCGUUCAAUUUUAUUAUACCGAAAAUAGAUAUCUACGUCUCUUAUAUUAAAUAAAUUGAUAAAAAAUAAUUUUAAAAGCUAUAUGUCAAGGCGCGUUAUUGCAUCCUUAAAUUUUUAAAUGUUUUGAAAAGAUGCGUACGCUGCAUUCUUAAUUGAGACGAAUAUUUAAACGGGUUUAAAAAAAAUAGCAUUAUAGGCUUUAAUACUUGAAAUGUCAUCUAACUUUAACUAUAAACUUGAAUAAAAUUCAUUUAAGGUGAUUAACUAAUUUAACAAAAUAAUUAUUAAGAUUUAUUAAUAACGAUGAAUGAAAAUAAAAAUAAAAAAAAUAAAAUAAAAGAUAAUAAAAUAUAUAUAAAGAUACCCAUGUCCAUUUCAAACAAAAAAAAAAGUUUCUUUUAAAUAUUUUUGCUAUUUAUAAAUCAAAAGAACCAUAUCAAUAUUAAGUCAUGCUUACAUUUUCCAUAAAUUGAUAAUUGAUCUUCCAGUUAAAAGAAAAACCCCCAAAAAUACUCCUUCUAAUACAUAUUAAAUAUUUACCAAGAAAACCUUUAAACAAUGCUCACAGGAUGAAUUCUUUAAUUCUGGAAGACAACGUAUUUAUGGCAUCACGGCGGCAGUAACGAGUUUGCCGAAUUCGAAGCCACGACGGGGAGGGGAAAGGGUGUCGAUCGACGGGGAAAAGGAAGAUGGGGACAGCGGCGUGGCGGUGGAUGGUGGAGGCCCGACUGGCGCCCUCCAUGGUGACUGAUCCGGCGAGUUUAACCGGUUUUUCGGCGGAUCUGACUUUUGGGAGGGGGAGGGGAAAAAUAGCAGUUGUUGUUAUCCACUGAUUUCCGGUGAGAUUCAGCCGACGAUGGGACGCUGGGAAGAGGGAGAGAGGGAAAAAAAAUGGCACUACUGGUUUGGAUUUUUCGGUGACAAUUCGUCUUAACCGUGACGAACUAGUGAAUAGAAGUGUUUUCCGGCAUCAAAUCCGAUGAGGAUUUUCACUAGAAACAUCUUCUCACUGUCAUCUCCUUCGAUCUCUCUCUUUCUUUUGCUCGCUAAUUCAUCUGAUUUUAUUGAUUUUUCUCUCCGUGUAUCCGAAUUUCCUCACAAUUUUCGAUACGCUAUGUGUAUUGUUGUAUUUCUACUUCUUCAAUGAAUACAAAUGUUGGUGUAUGCAAUCUGUAGUGUAUGUAAAUUGAAAGACAGUGUGUAGGCACGUAUACAUCAAACAGCCUGUCAAUUUUCGUUUCAUCCAUUUCUCUUUUUCGUUUCAAAUUUUAACUUUAACAAAAUUAACAUAACACAGUUUUUUUUUUACACUCAAAAUAUAAAUAAAUAUAUUAUAACUUAAUCAAAUAGUAUGCAAUAAUAAAAAUCCACAUAAUCAAUUAACUAUUCUUACUAAAUAUUGCAUAAAGCAACUAUCAUUUUAAUUCAUGCAUUUAUAAAUAAACUCAUAAUAUGAGUGAUACAGGAUAAUAAUAAUAAAAAAAAAUUGGUACUGAUUCAAACGGAAUAAUGAAACAAGCAAUAAUCAUCACCGAAAUCUUGAACACAAACCCGACUUCAACUUCACCCUUUUCCUCUCUGAUUUCUUAAAGCAAAAAAAAAAAAAAAAAUUUACUGUCUUUUUCUUUACUCUUAUUUUUAGUAUCUGACUUCCUAGAAUCUUCCGUCUCUCAGAAUGGAAAAAGUUUUCUUACAUAUAGAAAAAAAAUAGGAGGAAACAAUUAUUAUUAGGCUGAUAGAGAUAGGAUUUAAAAUUUAAACUAAUUAAUUAAUAAUUUUUUAUUUUGAAAAUAGAAGAUAAUAAUAAUAAUAAUAAUAAUAAAUAAAUAAAUAAAGAUAACAAAUAAUAAUAAUAAUAAUAAUAAAUAUAAAUAUAAUUAAUUUUUAUAUUUAACACAACAUAAUAAAAAAUUAUAAAUAGCCAAAAUAAGUAUAAUAAGAUAAUAUUUAAACUACUAAUUUAUUUAUUAAAAUUUAGAAAACAAAAAUAUAUAUAUUUUUUUAAUUUUUGUAUUAUUAUUUAAAAAAAAUAGAAUAAAAUAGAAUAAAAUAUAUCAAAAUUAACUUUAUUUAAUUAUUGAUUUUUUUAACUAAAAAUUUAUUUAAAUUAAAAUAAAAUAAGAAAUAAAAUAAUAUUAUACCAAAUAUAAAUAUUUAAUAUAAAAAAUAAGUUAAAAUUCGAGGAGGAUUAAAAAUCGUGUGUCUACAGACAUGGACAUCAAAGAUAUGGCAAAAGAACAUGUAGUACCUUACCUCCAUGCUAAAUCAUUAAUGAAGUUUCAGACAAUGUCCAACGAAUGAAUCAUUGAAUAGUUAGUCCAUUAUUAGCAUACCAGCAAAAUACGUCAUUCCAGAAACUUUCAAGGUACUUUUAUUAAAGAGGGAAUGUGGAUUUUUAAUUUGAUCCUAAUUUUUUAUAUCAUGAAUUCAAGACAACUAAAUCCUCAAAGAAAAUUCAUACCCUGCAUAAACAGCCUUGUUAUGUUACAUGAGCUGAAGGAAUAGUAUGAUUAAUGAUACUGUCGAUUGAUGUCAAGUAAAAAUACUUUUUGGUGUUCUCUAUUAAAAUAUAUGUUCUUUCCUUAAUUUUGUUGUUGUUGCUUUAUUUAAUGUGGAAUUGAACAUCUUUCCUGUUCUUUUAUUGGUUAGACUUGGAUGACAGAAUAAAGAGUCUUUAGAAUUAUAACUCUUGAAGAAAUAAUUAAGGCAUUCAUGAAGUAGGUUUCUUCAUAAAAUACUUUUUUGUUCUCUUCCUUUGUUUUAAAUCAACACUAAGUUAUUCAAAGUAUUUACUCUGUCAUCCAAAUCAAGCAACCAAAAAUUCAUGAAAGAUAUGAAAUUCUCAUUAAAAAAAAAGUAAAAACAACAAAACUAAGAAGAGAGUAUACACUUCAACAAAAUUGAAAAACACGAGAAAGAUUUGCGAGUUGACAACUACCAAAAAUAACAUCAAUGACACUAAUUCUUCGGGUCAUGCAACAUAACAAGACUAUUUAUGUAGGUAUAAACCUUCUCUGAAAAUUUAGUUGUUCAGGGCUCAUGAAACAAAAUUUUAGAAUUAAAUUGAAAAUUCACAUUUUCUCUUUGAUAAAAAUAACUUUAAAGUUUUUUGAACGAAGUACUUUGCUAUUAUGAUAAUAAAGGAGUAACUAUUCAGUAGAUUUAUUCUUUGGAGACUGCAUGAAACUUUAUUAAUGACUUAGUGAGCAAAAAAGACACUAUAUAUUUCUUGGCCAUAUAUUUGAUAUUCAUGUCCUAUAUAAUCACCAGAUAUUUCAAAUUCUCCAUUUCAUUACAGUUACUAUAUUAUUAGAGGCCGCUUAUUAGGCUUCUUAUGUUAACUCUUGAACUACUUCCUGAUACAUCUAUAAUAAUGGGUAAAUCAUUUUCAUUUAUUUAAUUACCACAUAAUAAUUAUAUCACUAAGUAUAUUUUUUAAUACAAUGCUGCAUUAAUUAACAAGAACUCAAAUCAUAAUAUGUAAUUAAAAAUUUUAGUAUACUUACCUCAUUGUCACCGAUACUAGUCAGCUCAUGAGUUUUUGAUGAAUCACCUUCAACAAAUUUUUUAGCUAAAUCUAACAAUCAUCAAAUGAAUACUACUUUCCUCUUUCAAAUUAUUUUGCUUGACUCAAAAAUUAAUUAAUGUUGAUGUAAAAUUUGAUUAUAGAAUCUCUAAUUGUUUAUCUUAAAUUUAAUAUCUAAAAAUUCGUUCAAAUUCAAAAGGUAAAAAUAUAUAUAUUAUUUCUAGGAUCUAAAAAUCGAAUAAAAAGAUUAAGUGAAAAUUACUCUUUUAUAUUUUUAAGAUUUACUUUUUACCUAGCGAUCAUCAAACAACAAAUCAUUCAAUCAAGAAAUUUGAAACUCUUAGAACCAUAAUCUCACAUGAUUGAUCAAAUCCCAUGAGACAUAUGAUUUAUAAGAAAUUAAAGAAAAGACUUUAACUAGUUGGCAAGAUGUAAAUAAAUAAACAAAUUCAAAUACAAUACUACAAAAUGAAAUCACAACAUUAAUUCCACAAUUUAUAAGAAAAUCUAUAUAUAAAAAUGAAUCUUACAUUUUUAAUUUUCUAUUUUUGUUUUUGUUCGAAACCUAUAUUGAUUUAAGGACAAGAUUAAAAAUUUUACCUUGAAUAAUGAUGCUGGCACCCACAGAGAAAUUCAUUUUCAAAUGAAUUUUGUUACCUACUAAAGAAUUACAAAGAUUUAAUCAAACUCAAUGACAUUGAGCGAUGAGAAUAAUAUAAACAAAUACACACACAACAUACACAAACAUAUAAUUCAUUAAAAAUAAAGGAAUAUAUAUAUAAAUUUAAAUGCCGCAUACCUUUUACAGAAGAAGAGAAGAAUGAAAAUGAAUUACAUCUUCAUAGGUUUUAUAGAGGAAACUGUAUGUCUAGAAAAUAUUACAAUAAUUUCUAUUUAAUUCACUUGUGAUUUUAAAGGCAUAGUCAUUAAUUUUAGUUUGACUCACUUUUAAUUCUAACUGAUACUAAUAAACUAUAAUAAAGGCAUAGUCAUUAAUUUUUAUUUGACUCACUUAUAAUUCUACUGAUUGAUACUCCUUUACUAAAUACUUGUCACUAUUUUGGUUUGCAUUUUCUUAAGAAAAAAAAUAAUUACAUGCUAAAUUGAUUAAAUUGCCCUUAUUAUUAAAUUUUUCUAUUUGAUACUUCUCUUUUUUGCACUAUAUUAAACAUCUCUUCAUAUUUAUGACUAAUGAUAAAUGUGCAAAAAAUAAAUAAUUAUGUCUUAAUUUUUUAAAAUGACAAGUAUUAUGAAAUAUCUAUUUUUAAUAAGAACGAUAAAUAUUUAGGAAUAAGAGGUAAUAAUGUACACUAAAGUCAUAAUGAUUAAUAAAUAUGUUAAAUUUGAAAAACAUAAGAGAAUCGCGUAUGAACAACCAAAAGCCUUGUAUUACUGAUAUCGUAAAUUAAUUAUAAUCAUACUUGAUAUGACUAAAUACUUAGAUAUUAUAGAGUGAAAUUGCUAAGACAACACUUGAUUAAUAGAGCAUUCUAUUUGGAUAUCUAUGAUGUAAGAAAUAUAUGUACUUAUUAUAAUUUUAAGUUAGACAGAAAAAUUAAAACUUGACCAAGUUUCUUCAUAAAUAUUUAAAAUUUAUAUUUAAUUAAUGGUGUCACAAUUUAUGAAAAAAUUUAAACUAUAUUUUGUUUUAAAAUGUCAAAUAUUACUUAAAACUUAAUGUAAGGAAUAUAUGAAAUUAAAAAAGGGGAAAAGACAAAAAUAACACCUAAAACUAAAAUAAUUCUACAAAACUAGCUCCUAAAUUCUAAACCUCAAUAAACAACCACUCGGGAAACUAAUUCCAACCGAAUGGAUAUUGUUUUGGUACUUCACAAUAUAUGUUGUGUAUUUAUUUUUUAAGGAUUCCAUGUUGAAUUUUAUUUUCUUUUGUUGUUUUAUCAAGGGAGAAUUCCACUUUUCUUUUGUUUUUAUACGAGCACUUGUAUUAAUAUUUUUUUCUCCUUUUCUUUUUUAAAGAUUCUACUCAUUUUUAUUCUUUUUUAAAUAAUUGAGUAAUUGCUUUUUUCUCCACAUUAUUUUGCAUUCACCAACAUUAUUAAAAUAACAUACUAUUUGCUUUGUUUAGUUUUAUUCAUUUAUACGAUAAAAUACAAUACCAUAUACUUUUAAUAUAAUAAAAUUGUUAAAAGUAUAUAUUUAUAAUAAUGAUACAGUUUCUAUAUUUACACAUAUUCUAUAAAUAAUUAUAGCAUUUUUAUACACAUUCUAUAUAAUUUUUAAUUACAAUUAUUAUUUAGAUACAUAUUUUAUACGACUAUAUAUAAUUUCUACAUGCAUUCUAAAAAUGUAUCAAUCUAGUAUAAGAGAGUAUCAAUUGAAUAUAUGGACACUGCAAGUGUAUCAAUGUAGUAUAAAAGUGUAUUAAGAUGGUAUAAAAGAGUACCAAUUGGGUAUAAGGACUGCAUGUGCUUGCAUAGAAUUUCCUUUCUCUUUUUUAAAAAGUGUAUCAAUAUAGUAUAAAAGUGUAUCAAUAGAGUAUAGAGACUGGAUGUGCCCAAUUGGUCCAAAUGGCUAAAGAAAAGAAUUAAAAAUAGCCGACUGGCUACAAUUGUCCACCUUUUCAAAUUGUGGACAUUUUUUUUAAAAAAUGGCAAACCCAUGUCCUUUUUUCAUUAAAAAAUGUGGUCUGGGAGGGGUCAUUCGCAACUUUUCAGGUGAUUGAAUCGCGGGUUUUUCUGCCACGGACAAUAGCCAUUGCCAUACACUGGCUGAACUUGAAGCCUUAAAAAUUGAUCUUGACUUAGCCAUCGCACACAAUCUUUUACCUAUUAUUAUUGAAACUGACUCGGUGGAGGUAAUCCAACUGUUAUAGCAUCCUACCAUGCCGUUUACUGAUAUUUUAUCUCAAUGCAGGUCAAUAUUUAAAAGCAUGGGGA
rnacentral:lncRNA from 1 species